AUCGCUUCUCGGCCUUUUGGCUAAGAUCAAGUGUAAGAAACUGUAGUAGAGAUGCAACUCAAAAACCUGCAGAACUGAAGCUCAAGUUCAGAAGCAAACUGUAAGUAUUGCAGGUUAACUUUUUCUACUUCCAAGUAGUUCAGUCUUUUUCUAUUAGGAUCUUCUACUGAUUGCAUGACACCUGCCCAUGUUAUAAGAGUAGUCUGUUU
rnacentral:sRNA from 1 species